UAAGUAUAAGUUUUUUACUGCGAAACUGUGAAUGNCUCAUUAUAACAGUUAUUAUUUACUAGCCGGUCAGUUAUUCCUUGGAUACCCAUGGUAAUUCUAGAGCUAAUACAUGCUUACAGACCCAACUUCACGGAAGGGUUGCGCUUAUUCGAUACCGAACCAACCCCGCAAGGGAUUUAGUUGAUUCAUAGUGUUCUGGCGAAUCGACUUUUAGUCGAUGAGGCUAUCAAGUUUCUGACCUAUCAGCUCCCGACGGUAGGGUAUUGGCCUACCGUGGCUUUGACGGGUAACGGAGAAUUAGGGUUCGAUUCCGGAGAGGGAGCCUGAGAAACGGCUACCACAUCUAAGGAAGGCAGCAGGCGCGUAAAUUACCCAAUCCUGACACAGGGAGGUAGUGACAAGAAAUAUCAAUAUAAGACUUUUGUGUCUUGUAAUUGGGAUGAGCGGAACUUAAAUCGCUUCUCGAGUAUCAAUU
rnacentral:rRNA from 1 species